CGUCUAUCGAGAUUCUUGUCUUUCGGGAUUCUUUCUUUCACAUCAUCGUAGUUUUGUUGCUCCGGUGGCCACUGUCCGAGGUUCUUCUUGGGACUUAUGGUAUCUCCGAACUUAUACACAGAUAAAGACAGACGUGCAAGGUUGAAACGAAUGAAGAAAUGACAGAAACUGAUUCAUGCUGCUUGAAUACACAUGGAAAUAUAAUAUUUGAGUCUGAUCUGAGUGUAUGUACAAAUGGCAGCCAUGCAAAAGGGUGAGAUUCAAAUUCAUCAAGGCUUCUGUUAUGCAACACAAUAAAUGCUGCUGAGAUGUAUUAGAGUGAAGAGCCUCAAUCACAGAUAUUAUGUUAAGCUUCCAAUCCUGAGCUUAGUUAUUUUAAAUGAGAAUUACAAUCAUACAAUCUCAUUCGGACAUGGUUGAGGUUACAGUUUUUAUUUUUACUAUUAGCAGUAACUUGUAAUAACAUUUUACAGCUGUAAAUAAUUUGAAUUUCAUGGAAUAUUAUUUCUUGUUUUGCUUUUUAACUGGAUUAAUGCAAUUAUGCCUCGGUGGAUGGAA